GCCUACGGGGGGCAGCAGUGGGGGAUAUUGCACAAUGGGGGAAACCCUGAUGCAGCAACGCCGCGUGAGUGAAGAAGGUCUUCGGAUUGUAAAGCUCUGUUCUUGGUGAAGAUAAUGACGGUAGCCAAGGAGAAAGCUCCGGCUAACUACGUGCCAGCAGCCGCGGUAAUACGUAGGGAGCGAGCGUUGUCCGGAUUUAUUGGGUUUAAAGGGUGCGCAGGCGGCGAGUUAAGUCAGCGGUAAAAUUUCGGGGCUCAACCCCGACGAGCCGUUGAAACUGGCUUGCUAGAGUGGGCGAGAAGUAG
rnacentral:rRNA from 1 species